CGAACGCUGGCGGCGUGCUUAACACAUGCAAGUCGAACGAGAAAGUUUCCUUCGGGGAACAAGUAGAGUGGCGCACGGGUGAGUAACGCGUAGGUAAUCUACCCUUAUAUCUGGGAUAACAUUGGGAAACUGGUGCUAAUACCGGAUACACUUUCUGCUGCGGGGCAGAAGAGGAAAGGUGGCCUCUUGGUCAAAGCUACCGUAUAGGGAUGAGCCUGCGUACCAUUAGCUAGUAGGUGGGGUAACGGCCCACCUAGGCCACGAUGGUUAGCGGGUCUGAGAGGAUGAUCCGCCACACUGGAACUGGAACACGGACCAGACUCCUAUGGGAGGCAGCAGUGAGGAAUAUUGCGCAAUGGGGGCAAACCCUGACGCAGCGACGCCGCGUGGAUGAUGAAGGCCUUCGGGUCGUAAAAUCCUGUCAGAUGGAAAGAAAUGUAUAGUGGUUAAUAUCCAUUAUAUUUGACGGUACCAUCAAAGGAAGCACCGGCUAACUCCGUG
rnacentral:rRNA from 1 species